rnacentral:rRNA from 1 species
CAGCUAGUUGGCGGGGUAAUGGCCCACCAAGGCGAUGAUCGGUAUCCGGCCUGAGAGGGCGCACGGACACACUGGAACUGAAACACGGUCCAGACUCCUACGGGAGGCAGCAGUGGGGAAUUUUGCGCAAUGGGGGAAACCCUGACGCAGCAACGCCGCGUGGAGGAUGAAGUAUCUUGGUACGUAAACUCCUUUCGAUGGGGAAGAUAAUGACGGUACCCAUAGAAGAAGCCCCGGCUAACUUCGUGCCAGCAGCCGCGGUAAUACGAGGGGGGCAAGCGUUGUUCGGAUUUAUUGGGCGUAAAGGGUGCGUAGGCGGUUUGGCAAGUCUUAUGUGAAAUCUUCGGGCUCAACCCGAAGCCUGCAUAAGAAACUGCCGGGCUUGAGUAUGGGAGAGGUGAGUGGAAUUUCCGGUGUAGCGGUGAAAUGCGUAGAUAUCGGAAGGAACACCUGUGGCGAAAGCGGCUCACUGGGCCAUAACUGACGCUGAGGCACGAAAGCU